CUUUGCUUCAAAAUCUCAACAUUAGCUAGAAAAGUUUGUUUAGGGUUUUUUUUUUUUUUUUUUUUUUUUGUUUUCUCUUUUCUUUCCAGAAUGUUGCCAGGUAAGCUGAGGUGGAUGGAGAAGGACCCUGCCAGGGUCACCGCAGGAAGAGCUUUGGGACAAAGCCAGUCUAGGAUACAUUGGAUCACAGCCUGGAGUCGCAGUCAGAGUGAUGACAGAUCUUCAUAUUAAACACCAGCAAAGAGUAAGUGACAACUAAGUUCCCCUUCUUUGAAACAAGGGAACAUUUU
rnacentral:lncRNA from 1 species